GCCAGUUUGAUAAAAACUUGAACUUCACAGCGUCGAUGAUCAUUCAUUAAACCACUAAACUUCUUGUCGAGAGAGGGAAGGGAGAGAAAAUAUUGCAUUUCAAGUGUGUUGGCCGAAGCCCCUCAUUUGCUUUGCCUCUUACAUUCGAACUAUGCCUCUUGGGGGGCAAUGAGAAACGACUAUUUGACGACCUCGGAUUAUAUAACCUUAUAUGCAGGAAAGAUUUCGAACUUCAUUUCUUGCUCUUUGUAUUCUUAG
rnacentral:misc_RNA from 1 species